rnacentral:tRNA from 7 species
UGGGCCGUCGCCAAGCGGUAAGGCACCGGGUUUUGAUCCCGGCAUUCGCAGGUUCGAAUCCUGCCGGCCCAGCCA